UAAUAAGUGUUUUAUGGCACUUUUUAAAUCCAUAUCCACCUUGUGUGCAAUGUCAGUCGAUCUUCUUCAUGGAGAUCGACCAAACAUCAACCUUUAUCUUUUAACUCUUUGUCUGAAAAAUAUUAUGAAUAUAACAAUUCAAAAUA
rnacentral:misc_RNA from 1 species